CGCUGCCGGUCGCGGGAUCCAACCCCUGGGUGGGGCGCGAGUUGGCUUGGCUCCCCUCGGCGGCGGUCACCGACGAGAAGAAGGACGUGGACGUCAUGGACGUCGCGCCCAACAUGGUCAGGUUCGGCUUGGUGAAGUCCAGCGUCAGGCUCUAUGGCUGCAGGACCGGGGUGGCCAUCGAAACCGGCGCCACGACGGUCAAAGGGGCCGGCCUGGACGGCUCGAUGGCGAGAGGGCGCGGUGGGGAAGGAGGAGGAGCGACCAGAGCUGGAGGAGGCGGCGGCGGCGGUGACUGGACGGGGCCGCGGCAGUAGCGGGCGUGGCCGGUGCGGUCGGGGAUCUCGCGGAACAGCUGCUGGUGCUGC
rnacentral:lncRNA from 1 species